rnacentral:rRNA from 1 species
UGGGGAAUAUUGCACAAUGGGCGCAAGCCUGAUGCAGCCAUGCCGCGUGUAUGAAGAAGGCCUUCGGGUUGUAAAGUACUUUCAGCGAGGAGGAAGGCGUUGUGGUUAAUAACCGCAACGAUUGACGUUACUCGCAGAAGAAGCACCGGCUAACUCCGUGCCAGCAGCCGCGGUAAUACGGAGGGUGCAAGCGUUAAUCGGAAUUACUGGGCGUAAAGCGCACGCAGGCGGUCUGUCAAGUCGGAUGUGAAAUCCCCGGGCUCAACCUGGGAACUGCAUCCGAAACUGGCAGGCUAGAGUCUUGUAGAGGGGGGUAGAAUUCCAGGUGUAGCGGUGAAAUGCGUAGAGAUCUGGAGGAAUACCGGUGGCGAAGGCGGCCCCCUGGACAAAGACUGACACUGAGGUGCGAAAGCGUGGGGAGCAAACA